GCGGGGACCCGACGCGGGACUCGAACCCGGGACCCCGGGGUCACGCGCUGAGAAAAAGCGGCAGCUGAAUGAAUGCAAGCCCGCCCGGCCCGCCCGGCCCGGCCCGGCCCACGCGGGACGAGCGCCCACUGUGUGCCCGGCGCGUGCUGGGCCUCAACCAGUGAUCGCCAGCCUCAGAACAACCCUUUGAAAUCGGUGCUUUGGUCUUCCCCAGAUGGGUGAAUCCGCCCAGCGUUAGGGAGCGGAUGGGGGGUCAGAGGAUUUGAAAAUAAAUAAAUAAGCAAACAAACAAACAAAUAAAUAAAUCCUUAUACACACGAUUCAGGAACAAUCGGGUCAAAGUUUUAAAUCCCCCCACACGGCUUUCUGUUGCACAACCAAAGAAACAUAAGAAAUUCUGCAGAUUCUUAAAAGAAGCCUUUCCUGAUCUUUCCCCAACAGUGAAACCAGUCUUUUCAAAAGUUGCCCCCGUCCUAGUUGUCAGUUCAAUGACUUCUUUCUGAUCUUCUCUCUACUUGGCCUUUCUUGCAGUUAACGCAGUUAAACCACUUCCUCUUGCGUAAAGCUUCGCUAGUCUUCCACAAAUCCAGGGUCCCCUUUUCCUCCCCCUCCCUCCUGUUCCUUUGUAAACUCCUCCCCUGGUUCUACUUUCCCUUGUCUUCAGUGCAGGUCCCCUCCCCGACAGCAGCAUGACCCAAAGUGUGCUCCUUGGGCGCACGCUGCGCAGUUGGCGGAUACCCACAAAGAAGUAAGCACAGGGAUCGAGAGCGAGUGCUUAGCAGCCCUUAGAGCGAUUUAAUAUUUCAGCUACAUCCGAGCACAUGAUCGUCGGACACCUCUCAUUAAACAGAACAUGGAACAGGUCAGGUGUUCCCUAACUUGUGGGGUUGCGGGUGGCAUGACUGUGUCCCUGUCAUGUGCAGUAGGGCCACAUUAUAGGGAGUGAAAUGCCAAGGCAAGUAUCGUUACCUGUAACCCAAAAGUGAAUACAAAUCUGUGAAAAUGUAAAUAUUUAUUUACUUUUUUGUUACAGUUUUAGUCAUUUUAAUUUUUAAUCCAGCCUAUUUUUUUUUUGAGAUUCAUAGCAAAAUUAGGGAAGUAAAGUUUGUGUCAUUUGUUUUUCACCCUAAAUUAUAGAUGGUGAUGUAAGCCUUCCUGUCCUGUUUUGUCAGGAAAAGACACAUGUCAGUAGUAUGUCCGUAAUAAUAGUAGUAAACCAAUGACCAGAGGAGUGAUUAUAAAGAAUUAAAGAUUAUUUUUACUAGUUUUACUCAGAAGUGUCAUCUUCCUUCUAUUGAGUUCAUAGCCAAAACUCAUAGUAAAUAUUAAAACCGUAACUGACUAUUGAAGCAAUAAGGCCAUCAAACUUCAGUAGCAUUCACAUAUAAAAUAUAAAGAAACUAAUUAUGAGUUUGACAAAACAUUUGGAAUUUUUAUUUUCCAUGAAAAUAAUCUCCACACAUAGGGAAUUCAUGGAUCCAGAAUCCAUUUCUUUAACUGAAGGGUACUCUAAAUGUAACUAUCAUUUAGUAGGACAAAGUUUUGGAACUUAUAAUGAACUGACACUAUUACUGAUGAGAUGAAUCUUGAAAAUAAAGCGUUAUUUGCUCCAUUUUGUAUAAAAAACAAAAGUGAAUAUCCUGAGCUUGAUGAAAUAGUCUUAAAAUCACUUGCAUUCCAUUAAACGUAUCUCUGAGAGACUAAUUUCUCUACAGUGAGGGUUACUGAAUAAAACCUAGAAACAGUUUAGAUAUACAAUAUCUCAGCCAUGCAACCUAGCUUAGAUCAUUUAACAGACCCAAGAAACACAUUCAUCUGUCAAAAAUGUACAACUACUGACAAAUUUAAAAUAUUAAAUACAGCGUUUAAUAUGGGAGAUUGCUCCUUCACUCCCAACCUUGUGAUUGUCACAACUAUGGAAUGAUAAAAAACUGACCAUAUAUUCACAGUUCGUCAUAUUAAUCGCCUAUUUGCACGCUUUCAGUGAAAGUAGCUUUUGUAGUUUCUUCUUUUAUGCGAUGUAACUUUUUGUUCUAUGUUUUUUGAAAUGUAAUUUUAUAUCUGUUUAAAAUACUAAAAAAAAUGUGAGUUUGUCAUUUUUUUGUUUUCAUUUUUCAAAUUAUUUAAAUUUUUUUUGUUUUCCAGAAGUAUCAAUUCACAAAGUUUAAAACAAAGGAAAGGUCCUUCACAGAUAGUGUGACAUAACGCUGGCCUAAAAGAUCCCCACCUCUCCUCUCCAUUUGCUUUAUUUCAUUUCCAUGAUUCAACUCAUCUCCAUUAGAGUCUUUCAGGUUUCAAGAAAAACAGAGAUCUACUAUUUUACUUUAAUUAUUCAGGAUUAUGGAUGAGUUUAAGUGAGAAAAGUGAAAGAGACAAAAAACUAAAAAAUAAGAGUCCCUUCUGCUGCAGUCAUGUGCCCUGUCAUCCAUCCAACAGCUGACUCCCAUCUUUCCUGCCUCUGUGAACACUGCUCAUCUUCCUCUCUUUAUAAUUUUCUCCUGCCACAAUGACUCCCUCUCUGUAUCACUAAUUCACAUUUCGCAGGAGAGAGAAUAACACUGGUUCCCCUACUAAACUGGAAUUUACAUUAGCAGGACCAGAUAACAUAAUUUGCGGGACCCGGAGCAAAAUGAAAAUGCAAGGCCCCUUAUUCACAAAUUAUUGAGAUUUUCCGGAUGGUGAGUGUGGAACAUUAAACCAAGCACAGUGCCUUUCUAAAUGGACUGUUAGAGAACUGCAUAGCUCACCCGCCCACAAAGCCAGCCACAUCCAGGAGAGUGCAUCUAUACUUGUUCUGCUAACGAGGGUGUCCCCAUGCCUCACCUGUGCCCAUGACACUGAGCAAUCAAUUGGGCGUGAUACCAAGUGGUGCUAGUUUGGUACGAUUUCAUUUGUAUUGGUUUCCUCUCCUCCCCCGUCCACUCCCCUUUGCCUUCACUCCUAUUUCUUUCAAACUGCACUCAGUCUCUACUUUCUAGAGAACCCAAGCUAAAAGACUUGUCUCCCAAGUGUCCUGGAGACACUCAGGAUGGGAUAUUAGAGGUGGGUUAACCACUGGUCUUAGGACAAUAAAGACCGAGGCGUGGUUUGUGGGUCGUAGGUGAGGCCACACAGGGGGAUCAUAAUUACUAAGACUUCCCACCUGUGGCCAGUCGGAUGCAGUGCACCUGAAAGUGAGACAUUGGACUGUGUAGUGGCAGUGAUGCCCGAGCAGCAUGAGGACAAUAUUGUAGAGAUUGGGACGGAUUCUGUUACUGGAAUUGCAUACUUUGUACAAGAAAACGAUACAUCAGGGCAGUCAGCUCUCACCUUAAGGUAUAUUAAGAAAGGCUUAAUAUGGAAAGGCUUCCGUUGGACAUAUUUUUUUUUAAAGAUUGAAAUAAAUAAAUAAAUAAAUAAAUAAAGAUUGUGA